UGUUUGAUGUUCUAACGUGGACCCGUGAUCCGGGUUGCGGACAGUGUCUGGUGGGUAGUUUGACUGGGGCGGUCUCCUCCUAAAGAGUAACGGAGGAGCACGAAGGUUGGCUAAUCCUGGUCGGACAUCAGGAGGUUAGUGCAAUGGCAUAAGCCAGCUUGACUGCGAGCGUGACGGCGCGAGCAGGUGCGAAAGCAGGUCAUAGUGAUCCGGUGGUUCUGAAUGGAAGGGCCAUCGCUCAACGGAUAAAAGGUACUCCGGGGAUAACAGGCUGAUACCGCCCAAGAGUUCAUAUCGACGGCGGUGUUUGGCACCUCGAUGUCGGCUCAUCACAUCCUGGGGCUGAAGUAGGUCCCAAGGGUAUGGCUGUUCGCCAUUUAAAGUGGUACGCGAGCUGGGUUUAGAACGUCGUGAGACAGUUCGGUCCCUAUCUGCCGUGGGCGCUGGAGAACUGAGGGGGGCUGCUCCUAGUACGAGAGGACCGGAGUGGACGCAUCACUGGUGUUCGGGUUGUCAUGCCAAUGGCACUGCCCGGUAGCUAAAUGCGGAAGAGAUAAGUGCUGAAAGCAUCUAAGCACGAAACUUGCCCCGAGAUGAGUUCUCCCUGAGACUUUAGGUCUCCUGAAGGAACGUUGAAGA
rnacentral:rRNA from 1 species